GGGGACGACAGGCUUCGACGUGGUCGGAUCGUGGGGAUGGUUGCGAGUCGAGGUUCCGGGUGGCCUCGUAAAACCCCCGGAAAAAAAUAAGUGCGGACAACACGCACAACUUUGAUCUCGGUUACGCGGCUGCUUAGUCGCUGACCCUGGUCGGCUCGGCCUUCGCUCGCCUGCGGCGGAGCCCCCGGGAUCAAUCAGCAGGCUAGCCCGGUGAGGUCCGCUCCAGCCGAUCCGGGGACAUUCCAUGGGGCUGGUUCUCGACAACCCCGCCGGCGAGGCGAGUCGAGGGCGAGAUCAGAGCGCCGGCUACGCUCGUAGACGCCAUCUCUUACGCGACCGCGGACGCGGGUUCAAUUCCCGCCGUCUCCACCU
rnacentral:tmRNA from 1 species